AAAGUUAUGGUUAAGUGGUAAACGAUGUGGGAAGGCUUAGACAGCUAGGAGGUUGGCUUAGAAGCAGCCACCCUUUAAAGAAAGCGUAAUAGCUCACUAGUCGAGUCGGCCUGCGCGGAAGAUGUAAACGGGGCUCAAACCAUACACCGAAGCUACGGGUGCAUCGCAAGAUGCGCGGUAGAGGAGCGUUCUGUAAGCCUGUGAAGGUGAGUUGAGAAGCUUGCUGGAGGUAUCAGAAGUGCGAAUGCUGACAUGAGUAACGACAAUGGGAGUGAAAAACUCCCACGCCGAAAGACCAAG
rnacentral:rRNA from 1 species